rnacentral:rRNA from 1 species
CCUACGGGGGGCAGCAGUGAGGAAUAUUGGUCAAUGGACGAGAGUCUGAACCAGCCAAGUAGCGUGAAGGAUGACUGCCCUAUGGGUUGUAAACUUCUUUUAUAUGGGAAUAAAAUGUUCCACGUGUGGGAUUUUGUAUGUACCAUAUGAAUAAGGAUCGGCUAACUCCGUGCCAGCAGCCGCGGUAAUACGGAGGAUCCGAGCGUUAUCCGGAUUUAUUGGGUUUAAAGGGCGCGUAGGUGGAUUGUUAAGUCAGUUGUGAAAGUUUGCGGCGCAACCGUAAAAUUGCAGUUGAAACUGGCAGUCGUGAGUACAGUAGAGGUGGGCGGAAUUCGUGGUGUAGCGGUGAAAUGCUUAGAUAUCACGAAGAACUCCGAUUGCGAAGGCAGCUCACUGGACUGCAACUGACACUGAGGCUCGAAAGUGUGGGUAUCAAACAGGAUUAGAUACCCGUGUAGUC